AACCAUAAGUGGUGACCCCUUGUGUAGUAAUGCAAGAAUCUAUAUCUAUAACCCCAAUCAAUUUAUUAUUGUUACGUUCACACAACAAAGUAUCAUCCCAAACAAAGAGACAUCAUUGUAAAGUGCCUAUCUCUGCAUUUCUGCACCAUACUCCUGAUUACUUUUUACACCCGAGAAUACUACACCAACCAAUUCAAGCAUUGAGACAGUUUUUGAGGCCAUGACCUCGCAAUCUCCUACUCAAUGGUCCUAGGCUCCUGGGUUCUUGGAUCGUCAAACAUUCCCACUCCCUCCAACCCUUCCAUGCCAUUAAUUACAUUGAUCAGACUUUAGCCACUUUUCAAAUCAUGGCCAUACAUUAUUUAAUGUAGUAAUUUCCUUCCAAAAUAUUCUUUAUUACUUUCUCCUAAAUAUUGCUUUCCCGAUCACCUCAAUACCACUCACAUCCAGUUCCAUGUUCCCUGCCACUAAUUCCAUUGCACACAUUAGUUUUUAAAACCGCUGUGUUAGCACAGGUGAUAUAUAUUAAUAGGCUUGGAAUGACCCUGCAAUUGUGUGGCUAGAGAUUAAUUUUAUUCGCAGGUCCAAAAAGGAGAGGAAUUUACAUUAACUCAAUAUAGGUGCUAAUUUGCAAUGCUUAACCGUUCGUUAAGCUUAUUAUAGGAAGUAAAUAUAACUUCAAAGUGUUGCAAAUCUGGUUUUCCAUCCACGUAAACACAUGUACUAAGGUUGAGAAUACCAUUCAAGAGUAAAAUGUACCCAGGAUUCUGAUCUUGGUCCAUAUAUAUAGUCUCUUAUUGUGAGCAUCUAGAUCCUUAAACAACUUUUUAAAUGGUUCACUCUAAGUUCACAUUAGGUGCAGUAUUAAGUUUGGAUUUUCACUUGAAAUGAACCACUUGACAAGUUUAAGGGCUCACAUGUUCACUUAGAGAGUUAUUUUAUCUCGAACACGUAAGAGAAUUGUGUAUCAUUAUAUUAAGAAGAAUAAAGAGUUUAGGGUCUAAAUGGAAAUUCAGAACAAGUUAAAGCUCCAUGGGUGCGCAUUACUUCAUUUUAAAACACCAGAGUCCUAUUCUUGAAGGAAACCUGCCAUAUUUAGCGUUCAUAUAUCUGUGCAUAAAUAAGGUAAAAGAGCAAAUAAAUGGUUGUCCUGCUGGUUUUGAUGCAUGCACGAUUAGUCUUUGUCCCAAACUAAAAACAUGACACCUUCGGUUUCUUCAGAUGUUGGCUGAUUGUAACUUGCAUUUUUUUUAGUCUCAGAAUUCUAAUUGAUUCAGCGCGCGCCAUCAAGGCAACAUGGGUUGUGUUCGAUGAAAGAGGACCCAAUGACAAAGGUCUUCUGGACCUCAUCAAAUUGUUCAGCGCCUUACAGCCUGCAAGUAAGCUUGUUUAUACCUUGACACAAAGUCUGAAUCAUGUCAGGCAAGGAAACUAAAAUCCCUGGUUUGAAUUUUUCUCUUGCUUGCAAGUACUGCUGUGUAUUAUUCUGUGUGAACUGAAAUAUGCCGGUGUUGAUCUCCAACAGGAGCAUGUUCUUGCCUGCAACAACUCAUAUGCAGAAUUGCAGAGAUAACCAUGCCAUGUUGAUCUUCAACAAGAGCAUGUUCUUGGCAUACAUCUAUCUUUACGACGACAAGACUUGCGAGCUGGAUGGCUCAACAAAGACCACAUUGCGUCACCAUUAAACAUUAUUGUGGAUAUGUAAGUGUAGUAUCAGAGUUUCAGUUUGCUGGUAUGAAUAUGAACCCUCAGUGAAAACAUAGGUUGGUAUUUUUCAAGUGUCCAUCGCUCAUGUGGUGUUGUCCAGAUUGCAUAAUGUUCUAGAGAGAUAAGGUACUCAGGUUCAGAAGCAGCAUUAUCUUCUCCAAUGGAAUACAAUAUCUGUGGAGUCGAGGCUGGUAGGUCUAUAUCAUAAUUUUGUUUCACUAUCUGAUCAUUCAUCUGGAUAGUUUAAGUCUCCUAAUAACAUAUGUGUGGGGUGGGGGUUAUUACUUGUAACAAGUUUUCGUUGUGCUACAGUCAGGUGCUCAACAUCUCAUCAGCAUGAUUAGCAAGAAACAACAGGAGAAAAGUUGUAAGGCCAUAGUAGUCUUUUUUUCAGAUUCACUUAUCGGCAGUUACUUGUCACGGCGAUCAAGGACUUAUCAUUUGAACUAUGUAUCUGCAACAAAGGGUGAUACAGACUGGGUUAUAGAACAAAGGUGACAAGAAAGUUUAGGUUAUACAUGGAUGGAGAUGUAUAGCUCAGUACGAUCAGGACAUGGAGGAGAUAUCCUACCACAAAGGUACUAUUGCUGUUACGAUCAAGGACUAGCAAAUCUGAAACAAAUAUUUGAUCCAAGGAAAAAUAAAAGAAAGCAGAAGGAAAUUUCCAUCGUACACAGCACAGGUUGAUCAACAAAGUUAAGAUGACAUAAAACUAAGUUAAAACUACAGCUGAUACAAGAGAGAACCCACAUGACUAAAACUAGAUAAACAUGGGAUUCCGCUGAAGAUAGCCUGCUCCUAGCUAGCCUGCUACUACAUAACACAAUUUUGCACUUGAGACAAGCAACAACCAUGGAUUGGUCAGCAGCUGCAUGCAGAACAUCUCUCACAUGUUCCCAUUGAAGAAAGCAUCACCAUUGCUGAGGAAAUCAGAUUGUCAGAAAGAAAAAGUUUAGAUAAUUAAACCUUAUUUAAGUAUUCAUCAGUUUCACAUGUAAAUCCUGCUGUAAAAUAAAAGGAUAGGAAAAGAGCAAGAAUGGUCUUACUUGCUUAACCCAGUCAGCCAAAAAGUCAUCCAAAUCAUCAAUCAUCGCCCCAUCUUGCGCUUCGCUUGUUCCGGUAGGGUGUUCAUUGUUGUUACUCACUUGAUCACCAACAGCUUGCUGAUCAACGGUGCCACCUCCAAGGAAGUUUCCAGAUGAACCCCUAUCACUCAGCAUCUGCGUCGGCAUAACAGAAUUUCCUAUCUGAAGGUUAGCCAAUGCAGGUCCAACACUUGAAGAACUACCCAAGGCAGAACUACCGACCGACAUUGCAGAGAUUCCAAAGUUGAAUGGUGCCACCUGCCCACUAAAACCUAGCAUUGGUGUGGUUCUCCCUGAUAGUCCUGCCAUUUGAUUAUGAUAUUCACUUCCAAAAGUUGGAACAUCGCCAGAGGAGGCUACAAAUCUUGAUGUCUGGUUGAUCCUGGCACUGCUUCCCUGUGAUGAACUAAUAAUAGAUGUUCCUGCACUAUGACCAACAUCAGGGAACCUCGAUUGCACACCAACACUCCAAGAGUUGCUAGGGUUACAAAGUCCAGCAAAUUGGUGAGAUUCCCUAGCAACUUGGUUGAAAUGGCCAGUUGGAGAUGGCUGAAUCUGGAUUGAAGGCUGGUUCACCAACUCCGACGAAUGCGAUGGUAAAUGAUGACUCGAAGGAGCCACUUGGUUGAAUAGGCCAGUAGAAGAUGGCUGAAUCUGAAUUGAAUGUUGGUUUGCCAACUCAGGAGACUGCAACGCUAAAUAACUGGGAAGAGCCGGCAUAUCACCACCUGCUAUCUCUUCAAAGAAGCUGUCGGCAUCAAAAGGAAUACCUCUAUUUGCAUCCAACAUCUUGCGACGCAAUAUGCUUGCAUACGAGCUGCAAGAACGAGUCGAAGGAAAGUGCAUGCUGGUGGUCGAUGGUGAACUGUCAUUUGAGAUGUUUGCAAAUGAAUUGCCAGAAGUACCAGAAGAGAAAGGUCUGCUUGUGUUGAACACCACACCAUUUGAUAUAUUUCCAGAUGAGCUGCUAGAAGGACCAGAAGGGAAGCACUGGCUUGCACUUGACAGCCCACCAAUUGACACGGUUCCAUAGGACCUGCCAGAAAAGAUUGAUCUGCUCACAUCCUGCACUGGCACUGACACUGGCACAACAUUUGUGGGCAGGUUGACACCAUUGCCAACUGGUUCGGUAUCCUGCUGUAAAUUGUGUGUUCCGAAUGCUGAUGGGCAACUUAUCCUUGCAAAACCAUUGCUUGAGCUGGACGUGCCAAUAGAGGAUGGAGAUGGUUGCACAAGUUCUAGAUGAUCCUGGGAACUGUUUGGUCCAUUCAUGUUGGCAGUUGUGUCACUCAGCCAUGCUUGUGGUUCAUCAACAAAAGGAUUUGAAUGGCUGAGUGUGCCCUCACUCAGCUUCCUCAGGUAGAUACGGUACUUCUGAAAUCAAAAGAUAGACAAGUUUAUUUCGUUAAUAAAAAAGAUUGAUAAGGACGUCAACACACAAUUGAAAGUGUUUUGUAGUAGUAAUGUUACAAAUGUAUGUGUUAAUCCCAAACUCAAUAUUUGUGUGCAAGCCAUUAGAACUUUUAUGUGUGGCACACGCAAGGUUCAGACGAGUGUCGCACACACAAAUUCCGUUGACAUAAACACAAGUAUUGUGUUUGAGAUGAUAACCCAGAAGAAACAAGUUUGAUUGAAUAUAUUGAACAAUAUUAUAGCAGAAAGAACUCAAACAUAGUAUUCAAGCAUAAUAGUAGAAACAAAACCUGCAGAUGACUUGCAACAUUGUCUCUACUGAGGCCGUCCACAUUCAUCACUUCAAGUAUGUUCUUUGGAACAGCCCCUGCAUUAACAGAAACAAAAUAAUUGUUACUUGAAACAAAUUUAACAUAAGAAUUAUGCUUCUUGUUGAUAGAUUUGCAACAAAAAGAGAAUCUUACUGUCCAUGCCAAUCUGAUUGAUGGCUUCCACAAACUUGCGGUGUAGCUGACCAGACCACUUGAUCCUUUGCCUCUUCUGGGUUGAUGUCCCCUCCUUGUCCUUUUCAGCACCAUCUCCAUCCUUUUUGUUCUUCUUCGAGUGCUUCGUGUGGUGUGCACUUUUCUUCCCAUCAGUGACGCUGUUCCUCACAUCGGUUCUAUCCUUCCUCACCACAUGCUUCCAUAUGUUUCUAAUAUGUUCCAUGCGUGCUGGCUUCACCAAAUAGUCACAAGCCCCGUUCUUUAUACCCUUCAUCAUAAUGUCCAUCUCAUCGUUUGCGGAUAGCACUGCAUGACACAUGGUCAACACAAGAUUAGUUAUGAAAUGCAAAAGCCAACAAGCUUGAUAGACUGGACAUCAAAUAAUUAACGUGCCUUUAUGUUAAUCAUUAGAGAUAUUUUUCCUUUUUCAUUUUAUUGAGUCAUUAUAUGUGCUGUUUACAUUAUGUUUGAAGAAAGUGUGUCACACAUGCUGCAGAACACCAAGUCCUGGCCAUGGCCACUUUUGCGUUUCAAAGAAUUUAAUAAGAGAAUUUAUAGAAUGUACAUUGUUCACCACAUCCUUAUUAUGAAAUCAACAAUAGCUCUAAUGACCAAUAUUCUUUUAAAGAAAACCACAAAAGUUUGUAGUUAUCUUGUGUGCACCAAGAGCUUACUAACCUACUGUGAUGCAUGAAACAUCAAAUGGUAGGAUUCUUAUUCGCUUGAUUUCAGCUAGUGAUUAUGAACUAACAAUAAUGUACAAAUUGUACUAGAAGCGACAAAAAAUCAAUUGCACGUAGGGCUUACAUACAAACCUUAACUAAUGUAUGAAACUAAAAAUAACAAAGUAAAGGGAUCAACUUAAUGCCUUGACAACAAAAAAAUAUAGCAUGUAGGACCUCCAAACAAACUGUAAUGUAUGAAACUAAAAAUGACAACAUUAAGUGAUCAAUUCAACACCAUUUAUGGCUGGUAGACAAUUGGUAACAUACAAAAUUAUAAACAAGAAAAUUCAAUUGCAUGUAGGGCUUACUAACAAACUGUAAUAGUAUAUGUCGACGUUUAGUAACGUCAACUGGUGAAGAUUUGCCGCGUGAAUUCUCGGAUGGAUUAGCUCGCAAGACACAGGAGAUUUAUACUAGUUUGGGCGAUCCGCCCUACGUCCAGCUCGUGGUACAAGUUCUUUAUUCAUGUGCUUGAGGAGCACAGGGCUCAAGUUUGUAGUAGGGGUUACAAACGGUGCGUGUGUUCUACUGGGGAUCGAAUCCCUCUCCCGUUCCCCUCCAUGCCCUUAUAUACACGGCUCAUGGGAGGUGUUACACUGUUGGUCGCGUCCUCUUAUUCAGUUAGGAGCAUCCCUCUGACCAGUGGCCAUAGGCCCCGUCCCUCAGUCGGGGCUUCUCCUCGCUUGACUUCCGUCGAAACCUUCAUCCGGGGCCCGUUCAUCCGGUCGCCUCGGUCACCGAACCUGACCCCUACACUUAUCCGAGGGCGGCACCUGUCAUCAGUCUCAUCACCUGGCGUUGCCAUGCUGGUGGACGGAGACUGGGCAGGCAUGACCGAGCACAGUGUUGCGACACCGUCCCUGACUGGGGAUCUUUGUCUUGAAGUGGUUGUCGUGCUCUCCUAGGCACAGAAUACGGUACGCCUGACUGGUCAGCCCGUGUUUUCUUGUCUCAACCCACGCGAGCACCGCUACGGUUGUCAUAUCAGGCAGACCUAGCCACGCCCUAGGGAUGUGGUAGGCCUGGCCCAUCAUUGCGCCUCGGCCUUUGCUUGGUAACUUGGGCCAGGCUAGCAAACUGUUUAUCUUGAUUCCCGGGCCUCCUUCUAGGGCACCGCCGGUUAGCUAAAUAAUGAUGUCAGUGGUUUUUCGUUCGGCCCAAUCGGUAUCUUCUUCCUAAUCUCACCCUUUUCCGGACUUGUCGAUCCGGGCUUGUCGAUAGAUUAAAGUAUCCCUAAUCUAGAUACCCGUAAGUAUAUGAACUAAAUUAGAAGUAACAAUAUGAGUGGUCAGUUCAACACCAUCUAGCUCUUAUGAACAAGCAGAAACGUAGAAAACACAUGCAAAAAGUUCAAUUUUUUUGUGGAGCUUACAAACAGGCAUAACAUAUGGAAUUACAAAUGAUAAAAUUAAGUAAUAAUCAUCUUGGCUGCACCACCAUGCCCUUACGAGAAACUAGGAACAACCAAAAUUGCAGAAAACUUAAACUAUAGUAUAUUAUAGUUUGAUUGCAACGGAAGAGAAAUGCACCCAAAAAAUAAGGUAUUAUGAUUAGCAUGCGACCAUUCAUUGAUAUCCUAGUAGCCAAUGCAAACAGCUACAACCUGAACAUUCACAAUCAAUAACUCUAUCGGAUAUCGCAUGCAACCUGAGGUACAUACAACCUAUUCAGUGCAUCUAUUCAAGUCAUAAUAAUAUGAAACAGGCACUACUUCUAAUUCUCAUUAUUGCUAUACUCUAAGAAACAUGGUAAGAUUCACGAGCACAAAAAUGGUAGGUGAUGAGUCUGAGCAAGGGUUUUACUGAUGACUGGGAUAUCCAUCUCCAGGCCAAUGAGCUCGAGGAGCUUGAAACCGUCAAUGCCGGGCAUGAAAACAUCGCUGAUAACCAGGUCAAACUGGUCAUCCCUGUCCUUCCUCUCCCUGAGCAUGUCCAGUGCUGUCUCCGCCUCCAUCACUGUUGUCACUGCAUCGCAAUAAUUCCAACAAAAAAAAGAGGAAAUCACCAAAAAAAUCAUCAUAUGGCCUUGACCUCUGAUCAGUCGGUCAUAAAGGAAUCGGAGCCAAGAAGGCAUGAACGAAAGCUCACCAUUGUUGUAGUUGCAAAGCUGUAGCAGUCUCUUUAGGACCGAGAGGCCGGUGCAGUCAUCGUCUACGGCGAGCACGCGCAGCCCUGCUAGGAACUUGUUCAUGUCCAUCUCUUCCUCCAUCAAAACAAACACGAUCAACAGCAAGAAAGCAACCUUAGAACAGCAAAAAUCCUGCAAGAAAUCUGACAACACCAAGAAAAACACCCCCAAACCCAAGAAGAUUGGACCUUUCUUUACCUGCUGCAAUGGCUUCCGUCCAAGAAUUUCCUGGAGGCUGGAGCAACACAACAAGAGGAUAUGAGUGUGAAGAAGGGAGUGAGAGAAGAACUCGAGGUGAAGAGCAAUGCAGCAGUGUGGAGGGGGAUUUAUAGCAGGGGGGCUGGGGGAGAAGGGCGGAUUCCAAACCAUGGGUCUGCAAGGAUGCAAGGUGUUCAACCUGGAGUUGGAUUCGCCUCUCAUUAAUUCCUUCCUUCAGUUAGAUAUGGUUCUAUCACCAGUGUGCUGGCCUUGCUUGUCUUUUCUAAGCUUAAGGCUAUAGUUCAGUUACUACUGGAUGGAAACCAGAGAAGAAUUGCCCAUGGAUUUCACUGGUUUUAAACCAAAUGUCAAAGGGUUGUUUUAGAGAGAGAGAGAGAGAGAGAGAGAGAGAGAUAACAAAAAAAUUAUUAUUAUUGUAGAAAUGCCAAGAUUAUUGGGUGUAAUCUUGGAAACCACAUGCCUUUCAUGCCACGUGAAAAAUCUGAAUGAAAGCUAUGAAUGUAUCAUCACCCAAGAUCAUCUUUGAUGUCUAAUAUGUUCCUCCUAUGGCGGAAUGAGCUAGUCAUUACCCUCUUUUGGCAAAAAGCGGUUAUCGCAUGAGCUGGGUGUGGAGGCAGCAAAACGUAAUGAUUGUUGUGGCAAUUGUUGGCGUGUAGCGUACUUGUAUCGGUAACGGUGGAAAUAUGUGUGAUGUCGUCUAUAUCAAUCAACGUAUAAAUUAAUGACAUUUCUGAAAUGUUGAUUAUUUCAAAAAUAAAAUCUGAAACAUUUGGGGAUAUUCAAAUUAGUAGUGACAAGAUCAACCCAAGUUGUGUAGCUGAGAUAAGAAACGGCCGAUUAUAUUAAAAGUUUUCAAGAUGGAUAAGGAAUGAGAUAGUCUGACCCUGUUUCGAACCACAGCUAGGUACGUAAUACAGCUCGUGUACAUGAUCCAUUGAAUUAUGUCCAUGGAGACAAAGAAUUGCGUUAAUUCCAACUAUUUUAGGGGAAAAUACUUAUUGCUAGAGCUCCAAGGUAAUAUAGGGAUACCAUAGUGUAUAGUGUCUAAAUUUUUCUCCAAAAUAAGUAGUGGAAGUUGUUGCAAGGGAAAUCUCGAUGAAAAAUCUUUUCUUCUAGUAGCUCGAAAUCAGUAGUACCUCACUGGAGUUUAGCAGCAUUCUCGGGUCUUGUUUGUAGUUUGAUUUUUUUUUUGUACGGAGAAUAAUCAAAUUAUACGCUCUGAAUUUAUUCAUCCAGCUCAUCUCUAAUGUCUAAUCCGCUUGACCUUCUAUAUGCAUGUAUGAAUGAAGGAGCAUGUCCGCACCCUCUUUUUGAGAAAAAAAAUGGUUGUUGCAACGACUUCACAGAAGUGGUGUAACGUUUAUAGGUUUAGGGUUUAGGAUAAUAGUAAGUAUAUGCUGGUAGGUCAUCCAUAGCAACACAGAAGUACCACUUUUGAAAUGACAGGAUAUUUGAAUUGAGUAGCCGCAAGUCAAAACCUCGCAGUAUACACCUCAGAGACUAGAAACAAUAGUUCAAAAUGUUCUUGAAGUAGAUAACUGAAAGUAUAUUGAUGUCGCCUAGAGGGGGGUGAGUGAAUAGGCGUAACCUGAAAUCGUCGCCACUUGAAACAAGUUUAUCAACGACUUGCGGAUUAUUCCGGAAAUACUUCCGGAGAUUCCGCAAAUUACAGAAUCUCCGAAGAAAUCUCUAGAAUCUCCGAAUAUAGGAAACACACGCCUUAAGCAGCGGAGUAAAAUUGUCUGCCUGAAAAUCGGAAUUUCUGGUUUCAAAACCAGAACUUCCGAGUUUUGGCUCAGGCAGAGAGAACCCCUCAAACCUUAUGCGUUGCAAGUGAGGUAAAGAUCAAACCAAGUUUAGAGAGUAUGCUCAGAUGGUGUAUCUUAGUAGGAUCACAAAGCUCAUGCACUUCACAAACACUAACACCCGAGUAGAUCAACCAAUAUUACGAGAUCAACAAUGAAAUGAAAGUGCAAUGCAAAUGUAAGCAAACCACUGAGGAGACACAAUGAUUUGUUUCACCGAAGUUCAAAUUCACCCUAGGCAAAUCCUACAUCUCCGUUGGAAGCGAAGCUCGACCUGCACAAACUAUCCCGCGGCUCACCACACCUUGGGAACUCUUGGGCGACGCCUAGCCGUCAGGAGGCACACCUCCAAGAAUAACAAAUGCUUCACUUGAAACAUGACAAGGCAAACCAGUGCUAAGGCGUAUGAGUGCUCUUCUGGUGCUCUCAAAUGGUUCCUCUCUACAACCCAACUCACGAGAUCUAGCAAAGAUCACACUACCUCACAAAGAGGGGUUGGGGAGAGCUAUUUGGCUUUAGUUCAGUUUAGAACAGGCAAGAAGCACGCCAGCAACUGCAAAAACAGCCCCCAGCCACUGAGGGGGCCGUGGGGUAUAAAUACUCCACUCCCCAAAAUAUAGCCGUUAGAGUUGUCAGAGCAAAACCGGAACUUUCAGUUUUCCAAAACCGGAACCUCCGAUUUUUCAAACCAACUAGCCGUUAGGGGUUAAGUUCCGAAGUUUUUCGGAACUUUCUCAGAAACUCUGGAACCUCCGGAAUCUUCCACAAACUUCUCCGGAAACUCCGGAACUUUUUGUUUUGCCACUUCUUGACCUGUUAGUGUGUACAUGUGGCUUUUGUGUCUCUCAUCCUUCACAUAGGAUAUUUGAGCACUGAGACUUUGUCAAAUGACCAUGUGAUGCAUCCCUCUUGAUAGUACGACACACCUAUACUCAAGAUCAAAAUAUAAAUACCAUAUUCAUCCUCUUGAGUUUCUUUACCAUGAACCAUGCCAUACUUGAUAAUCAUAUCUACUUGAGAGUUGCAUCCAUCUUUGUCUCUUUGGUUUGAGCACUUCAACCUUGAGUUAGUGACUUGGAUCAAUAUUCAACCGCAUAUGAAUGAAAUCCAAUUUUAGAUCACAAGUCACUUCUUCAUAUGACUCAAUUGCAUCCCAUUGCUAUACUCGGUAAGGCUUGACUUGAUACCUCAAAAUCCUCCAAGCACUAGCCGCUUCACCCUAGCAAAGCUCAUGGCCUAAGUCACUACUUGACCAAACUUUGCUUAGUACUUCGUUGCUAAUCGCUUGCUUGAUUUCUUCAUCCAAUCGCUGUUGUAUUUGAGUAUAGCUAUGUUUUGACCUCACGAAUGAAAUCCACUUGAGAUUAUAUCUUCUUUUAACUUCUAUAUCCCAUUUGUUUAUAACAAGCUUCUCAUUUUAUUUAGAGACUAACUAAUAUCUCAAUGCCAUCAUGCCUCUAGCUUUACUUCAAUUUGCUUUGUCACAUGUCACACAUAGCCAUCAUGGGAUCCACAUAAUAUUCCUUAUUAUGACAUUCAUCUUUAACUCAAGCAAUCUUGCAAUAUGAGGCUACCCAAGCCUCAACUCUCUUUUACACCAUUGCUUGCUUAGAUGAACAAUGCCAUAUACAAUACUUGUUCUUUUCAUUGUAUGAGCCAUUUAAUACAAUCUUUCUCACAAAGAUUAUUUAUCAAUAGCAUUAUACCUGCUCAUAUACUUAACAAGUUCAUUAGAUCUUUAAUCAUGUUGUCAUUCAACUCACCAAAACCCACUAGGAGCCUAGAUCCUCUUUCAAUAAGGAAUGAGAUACCUUAUUUAGAAGCACACUUGAUACUGAUGCAUGAUUUUAUGAACAUUGGCAAUGGAGAUGAAGAAGUUUAUUAAUUCUUUCCAUCAAAUAAAAUAUAGGGAUUACGACAGCUGUGUAUUUGAUAAAAUUUACUCCAAGACCAAUCAUGAAAUUAAUUUAUUUCGAGUGAGAAUAUAUAGCACAUACAGAACUUGCUAAUACUCCAAAGUGAAUGUCAUGUAUCUAGGGUGUUUGGGCCUGAGCCGGCCCAACAGCAUGUGGUCCAACAGGCUCAACAUGCCGACAAAAGGGAUUGUGCUACAGUAACCACGAGUGCUAUUGUACGCCUAGUGCUGAGAGUCCUCCUAGGUGAGGAUUUAGAAAGAGUCUAGGAAAUAGUAUUGCUUGUAAUUCAAGUCGAGUUAGGUUUUCUUGUAAGUUAAGUUAGCUUCUUCCUAGAAAUAUGAGAGGAGGGGUAAUGGAUUCAAUCACGUAGGAAAAAUAGCUUAGUUCCUCUCCUACCUUUUGCUAAUGCAAUCUGAAACAGCUUCCCAGCCAUACACCUCCCCAUCAUGAACAGUAACACCCCCAGCCAACCCUCCUUGGCCUCCAGCCACCCUCUCCUCCCUCUACAAUAAUUCAAGUACAUGACAGAUUGGUAUUCAGAACCAACAAUCUUUGGAUCUAGGUAGAAAAUUUUCUACCCAAUUUUUUCUCUCCCUCCUAAAACCACCUUUCUGUGAUGGAAGUUAACGAUAACAAAACUGAAGGAGAUCAUGAAAAGAUCCUUACAAAAAUUGGAUAUUCUCGGCGAAGCAAUAGAAACUUUUUGUAGAAUUGGGGAGCUAACACCUUCAACCAUGGCGGAAUAACACGGCUCUGCUCACCACGUAAACAGUGGUUGUGGUACUGUUCAUGAUGUGAAAGUACCUGUGGUACUGUUCGCCUCGUGGACAUCUGAAGCGUCCCCACAUAAGUAGAGACUAAAUGUGAUCCAAUUAUCGGUCCCAGGAGACUGAUAACACAUUUAUUCAACAGAUAGUUCAGAAACCGUACAACUCCCGAAGGAGCGGGCGGGCAAGCCACACCCAAAGCAAGACUAAAGCGAUAACAAUACAAAUCCAAGUUGCAGUCCAGUCGGACUCCGGGCUACAAUCGGAACUAAGCGUCAGCGGAAGCAUCCUGCAAAAGGGCCAACACCGCAGGCAGCGUUGGGUGCGGACGCAACCUCCUACUCGAAGUCCUCGGCGACGAAGUCGGGAUCCUCCUUUGAAGUAACAACACAAGGGUGAGUACAAAAGUACUCAGCAAGUCCAACCCCAUCCACGGAGGGGAAAUACAACAAGAAUAUGCAUAUGAAUCAUCAAGGAUAAAGCUAUGGUUAUUUGCAAUAAAGCUGAAUUUUAGACACAUGCAGGGUUUCAUUUUAAAGAAGUUUCAGGAAAACAUUUUAAUAAACGAUAUAUCAAGUGGGGGUUGAUCCUACACAAAGGAUCCAAGUUUUAUCGCUACCGGACUCCCCGUCCGCCGUAGCACGCUGCACAACUGCCGGACACUUCCAAAAUUCCACACACCCACACACGCAGUACAUACCAGUCAUCCCCCAAAAACUAGUUGUGUGACCGAGUCGUAACUCGUCCAAUGCCGUGGACACGGCUACCCGGAUAGGUUUUAACUCUGCAGAGGUUGUACACUUUUCCCACAAGUAGGGUACCGUAACGCGAUCACCUUAGUGACGGUACGGAUCCUAACAAAGCCAUUACCCACCUUAGCCAAUAUUGACUAGUCAACACGGAAGCACCCAAGGGAUUAUCAACCCAUCCACGGGGCCGAAAUCGGGACCUAAGUCACCAAGAGCUUAGUCCUUUUCCAAGGGCUCCCGUUGCUCACCAGCACACCUGAAGCCUAGCAGUUUAGCUAGUGGGAUUUAGGCUAAGCCGUUGCCCAUACAACGGUCGAGUGGUUGCACGAUGAUGGAAUUAGGCAGGAUGACACAUCAACUCGGUCCUUAGCCAUGACAAGAUGGAUAACUCCCACUCUGCUCAACCACUAAGGUACGAGCCCAGCAACCCGGUAUUCCACACAAGAAACACCCAUCCAUCUCAUCCACCACCUCUCUUUACACCCGAAAACCCAACUCCACAGUUGAACAUACACACACCUUUAUUUUCCGAAUACACAGAUGUAGUCAUGAUUGAGUUUGGAUAAUGAGUUCCUAAGCAUUCGAGCAGUAUUUAUCAUCUAAACGGAGCAACUCAUAUUUAGAGAUAAAUAUGGGACGACAAGAAAUAAUCAUAACAAUCAAGGGGUGGCUAUCCAACCAUGUCUUACGAUAAAACAAUAUGCAUUUUAUAAAACAGGCCAAUAGGUUGUGUCUGAAAAACUGGGUAUUAAAUAUGCAUCAAAGGGUGAGAUUGGACUUGCCGUUCUCAAAGCCUUCCGGGAGCUCCUGCUCGCGGUACUGGUCCUCGGGCUCGGGCUCGUGGUCGAACUCCUCCUCGCGCUCCUCCUCGGGUACUCCGCGAUCUACGGCACACACAAACGAGCACACAAUAAAUAAAAAGGAAAAAGAUUUUACCCGUUGAGCUCCGAACAGGAAAUAUGAACGGAAAAUAGGUAGGAGGGGUAUUUUCAUGAAAUUUUGAUAUGCUUCGGCGGGAAUAUAUGAGAGGAGGCCGUGGUCGAAUUUGGGAUUGAUUGGAGGAAAUUUGGCGCAUGAAAUGACGGGUUAAAGGAGUAUUAGGGGCUUUUAAAAAGAGGUUUAGGACUGAUCCGCGAGAGCAGGGGCCUAACUGUAAUUAUUUUUGGAAUGGUGGGAGGACUUGCUCGCGAAUAAGGGAAACUGGUGGGUUGGAUCGCGAGGAGAGGGAUUUACCCCUUUCUUCUUCCUGGAGACAAUCAGGAGGUGGAGGAAGGGAUGGCCGGCGGCGUUCUGGUGGUGGUGGUGGAGGAAGGCAAGGUGCUUGUGGUGAAGGUGUGGAGGUGCAAGGCUCGGCUCCCCCCCCCCCUUUUUAUAGGCGGCGCACGGGCGGGCGAGGGCCGAGGCAAUGAUGGCGGCCGGACCUUUGGCCGGUGGCGUGCCGGGGUGGUGAAGCUCGUGGACGGCGUGGCGGCGUGGUCGACGAGGGCACAAGAGCGGCGACCGGCGACCGGCGACACGACGCGACGCACCCGUCCAAGCACUAGACGCCAAGGCGCGAGCGGGCGGGGCACGGGCGUCGUGGCGCGGCACGGCACGGGCGCGCGCGCGGGCGCGGGCGCGCGGCCCAGCGCGCGUGCCGGCGUGGGUGGGGGUGCCAGGCGCCAGGCGCAAGUGGAGGGGUGGCAGGGAAAAUAAAGGAGAGAGAGAAGGAAGAGGAAGGGAGAGGAGGAAGAAAGAGAAGGAAAAAGGGGAAGGGAAAGAAAGAGGAGGAAAAAGAAAGAAGGAAGAGAAGGAAGAAAAGGGAGGGGAAAAAGAUGGCGGGAAUUGCGGGAUUCGACUGCACGCGCGAUGGACUUGAUGGGCACGCGGCGAAAAUUACGGGGAGCGGAAAAAGAGGGUGGACGAGCCGGGGCCGGAACGGCAGGUCCGACGGAAGGGAAAGGGUUUGACGGAGCUCAGCGGUCGGAAAAAUUUUGGAAUGCAUUUUUAACGAGUGGUUUAACUGAGUGUAUUUUUACGGGCGUUACAAACCUACCCCACUUAAAUUGAAUCUCGUCCUCGAGAUUCGGCUGAAUCCUGAAUAGAUGGGGAAACUCCUUCUUUAGCGCAUCUUCGCGUUCCCAAGUGGCUUCUUCUUCACCAUGCCUACUCCAUUGGACUCUGCAAAUUCGCACUACUGAAUUCCUUGUUCUUCUGGUGACGGUGUCCAGAAUCUUAAUGGGUACCUCCUGAUAUCGCAGAUCCUUCUGCAAAUCUAUGGUUUCCACCGGUACUUGCUCUUCUGGUCCUCUCAGGCAUUUUCUUAGCUGGGACACAUGAAAUACCGGGUGGAUGUCCGACAUUUCUUCGGGUAACUGAAUACGGUAUGCUACUGCUCCAACCCUUUUUAGCACCUUGUAUGGUCCGAUAUACCGAGGGGCCAACUUUCCUUGCACUUGGAACCUUCGGGUACCUCGAAUCGGGGAGACUUUAAGGUACACGAAGUCCCCCUCACUGAAAAUCAACUCUCGUCUUCUUUUAUCUGAGUAGCUUUUCUGCCUAGACUGUGCUGCUUUCAACUUCUCUCGUAUUUCAGCUACUCGCUCUUCUGCUUCCUUAAUAAAGGCAUGUCCUACCAGGGUACGCUCUCCCACUUCCGACCACAUCAAUGGGGUCCUGCACUUCCUCCCAUAGAGAGCCUCAAACGGUGACAUGCCUAAGCUGGCUUGGUAACUGUUGUUAUAUGAGAACUCUGCAUAUGCUAGACUCUGCUCCCAGUCCUUGCCAUAAGUGAGGACACAUGCCCUCAACAUGUCUUCCAUGAUCUGAUUUACUCUCUCUAUUUGGCCAUCGGUCUGGGGGUGAUAAGCUGAACUAAAGUCCAGUAUGGUGCCCAUAGCCUUAUGAAGACUCCUCCAGAAUCUAGAGGUGAAUUGGGUCCCUCUAUCCGAUACAAUUCUGCUAGGUACACCAUGCAACUUCACUAUGUUGUCCACAUAGAGCCGAGCUAGCUUUUCUCCACCAUAGGUGGUCCGUACGGGUAAGUAGUGGGCAACUUUAGUGAGUCGAUCCACUAUCACCCAUAUGGAGUCAUUCCCUUUUUGGGUCUUGGGCAAUCCCACUACAAAAUCCAUGCCAAUCUCGUCCCAUUUCCAAACUGGAAUGGGUAGUGGUUGCAGUAAACCUGCCGGCUUCUGAUGUUCGGCCUUAAUUCUUUGGCAAAUAUCGCAAUGAGCGACGAACUGGGCUAUGUCCGCUUUCAUCCCAUUCCACCAGUACUUCUGCUUUAAGUCCAUGUACAUCUUGGUGGAUCCCGGGUGGAUGGAAUAUGCUGAGUUAUGGGCCUCAUCCAUGAUGAUUUGCCGGAAUUCACCUUCCUUGGGCACACAAAUCCUAUCCUUGUACCACAGGGUUCCCUUUUCGUCCACUUUGAAGUCUGGGGCUUUAUUUUCUCCGGUUUGCCUGCGAAUCUUCACUAGGUUCGGGUCUGAGCCUUGGGCCUCUUGGAUUCUUUCUUCCAGGGUGGGCUGAACACUUAGCUUGCGGCUGGUAUUCUGAGGGACGAUGUGCACAUUUAAUCGGGCCAUUUCCUCUUGUAGGUGGGAGUCCUUAGGUCCGAUCUGCCCAUAGGAUUUCCUGCUUAAUGCAUCCGCUACCACAUUGGCCUUACCGGGGUGGUAGUGAAUUUCCAGAUUAUAAUCCUUGACCAACUCUAACCAUCUUCUUUGCCUUAGAUUCAGAUCUGGCUGGGUGAAGAUAUAUUUUAGGCUCUUGUGGUCUGUGUAGAUCUCACACUUGUUUCCGAUUAGGUAGUGCCUCCAGAUCUUGAGGGCAUGCACUACGGCUGCAAAUUCCAAAUCAUGGGUGGGGUAAUUUUGUUCAUGGGGCUUAAGUUGGCGGGAGGCAUAUGCUACUACCUUCCCAUCUUGCAUCAGGACACACCCUAACCCUUGUCGGGAAGCAUCACAAUAAAUGACGAAGUCCCGCUGGAUAUCCGGUAGGGUUAACACUGGGGCGGUCGUUAGUCUUCUUUUUAGCUCCUGAAAACUCCUCUCACAUGACUCAGUCCAAUUGAAUUUCUUGUCCUUCCUAAGUAGCUCUGUCAUGGGUCGGGCUAUCUUAGAGAAUCCUUCAAUAAACCUCCGAUAAUACCCAGCUAACCCAAGAAAACUUCUGAUUUCACUAACAUUGGUGGGUUGCUGCCAGUUGGAGACGGCUUCAACCUUUUCAGGGUCGACUGCUACUCCUGCUGCGGUCAAGAUGUGACCAAGAAAUGCCACCUUCUCUAGCUAAAAUUCACAUUUACUGAAUUUAGCAUAGAGUCGGUGGACUCUCAAUUUCUCCAGUACUACUCACAGAUGUUGCUCAUGCUCUUGGACACUCUUGGAGUAAAUAAGUAUGUCGUCGAUAAAGACCACGACAAACUUGUCCAACUCCUCCAUAAACACCUUGUUCAUGAGAUUCAUGAAGUAAGCAGGAGCAUUGGUCAGUCCAAAGGACAUCACUGUGAAUUCAAACUGGCCGUAUCGGGUAACAAAAGCUGUCUUCGGGAUAUCACUUUCCUUGAUCUUGAGCUGGUGGUACCCUGAUCUCAAAUCUAUUUUGGAGAAAUACUUGGCUCCUUUUAACUGGUCAAAUAGGUCAUCUAUUCUGGGAAGGGGGUAUUUAUUCUUGAUGGUGACCUCAUUUAGUGCGCGAUGAUCCACGCACAUCCUCAUGCUUCCGUCUUUCUUCUUGACAAAGAGCACUGGGGCUCCCCACGGGGAUGAGCUAGGUCUGAUAAAGCCACUCUGCUGCAGUUCACCUAACUGUUUCUUCAGCUCUGCUAACUCAGAUGCUGCCAUUCUAUAGGGCCUCUUGGCUAUAGGGGAGGUUCCAGCGAUAAGGUCGAUCACAAACUCUAUAUCCCUGUCCGAGGGCAUUCCAGGUAGUUCUUCAGGAAAAACAUCCGGGUAUUCACUCACUACCGGGACUCCUUCUAUGGCCUUGGCUUCCAUACUAAAAACCAUUGGGUCGAGCCCACUUCCCCGGGUGUGACAGGUCACUUGCACGCCCUCCUGGUUAAUUAGGCGCACUACCUUAUCAGCACAUCCUAUGUGUCCAUCAUGUAGACUUAGCCAAUCCAUUCCCAGGAUCACAUCUAUUCCCUUAGACUUAAGUACUACCAAAUCUGCUAGGAAUUCUACCCCACUUAAAUUGAUCCUUACCCGGGAACAACCUAGUCGACACUGGAUGUCGGCUCCAGGUGUCCGGGUUAUUAGGGGCACCCUUAGUAGUACUAUAGGUAUGUGGUGCUUAUCCACAAAGCUUGAUGAUAUAAAUGAAUGUGAUGCUCCAGAAUCGAAGAGUACUGUUGCCAAAACUGAGCUGACUAGAAACUCACCGAGUACAACGCCCUGAGCUUCCUGAGCCUCUUGCGCGCUGAUGUGGUUGUCGCGGGCUCGUCCAAACGACUGCUGGGGCUGCCUCAUCUGCUGGCUGUUGUUGUUGCUGCCGGGGUUGUUGCUGCGGACGGGAACACGGUUGGCUCCUGACACUGCUGCCCUUGGCCCAGUCACUGCGUUGGAGAAGGCUGAUGCAGCUGGCUUGUUGGCGUAGGGGCACUUGGCAAUGAAGUGCCCUGGCUCACGGCAGUUGAAGCAUGCCCUGCCGUUGUUGGUGACUUGACUGGCGCUGUUCUGUGGGGCCUUGACAGGGUUCUGGCUUCUGAAUGGGGCAUUAGUCUGAUGGGAACCGGAGGCUUGAGACUGGGUCCGGUACUGCAUGGGAGCUUGGGACCUGGGCAUGGGGUGACCAAAGCUCCUUGGUUUCUGGAACCUGUCCUGCUGGUGGGCCUUGCUGUCGAGGAACCGACGCUUGUUGUCCCUCCUUUCAUCUGCCUUGGCCCUCUCAGUCAGGAUGGCCAUGUUCAUCAGGGUGUUGAAGUCAGGGUAGAUCUGAGGAGUAAGCAGGGUCCUCAGUUCUGCACUCAAACCCUUCUUGAACAUAUCUUGCUUCUUAUCAUCCUUGUCUACCUCUUCUGGAGCAUAACGGGCCAACUCCAUGAACUGAUAAGUGUACUCUUCCACGGACUUGUUGCCUUGGCGCAGUUCACGGAAUUCAUCCGCCUUGCGCUUCAUGGUAGCCGCAGGAAUGUGAUAGCGGCGGAACUCUAUCACAAACUCAUCCCAGGUGAUAGUGGAGGCAUCCUGGGCGGCUGUGCAGUAGUUCUCCCACCAAGCUAAAGCAGUCCCAGUGAGCUGAUGUGCAGCCAGGAGGACCUUGUCCCUGCUCUCACAGCCGAAUGGCUCUAGCUUCCUCUGAAUGACCCGCAGCCAGUCAUCUCCGUCCAGGGGGUUGAUGGACCCGCCAAAAGUGGGUGGCUUGGUGCGGAGGAAGUCUGUCAGUUUCUCAUUCAUACCCUGUCCGCGGGGCCUUUGGCGAGUGAUGGCAUUGGCCAAGGCUUCCAGCAGAAGGGUCUGGUUGUUCAUGACUUGUACCAAAUCAAUGACCGGUGGGGGUGGUGGCUCCUGUGCUCCCACUUGACUCUCCCCCCUGCCCUCGGGCUGAUUCACCUCUUGCUCCUCAUGGUGCACUACUGGUGGGGGUCCCUGCCUUUCCUACUGCCUUUCUGCACUAGGAGUGGCACGUGCUUGACUCGGGGAGGUCCUGGUGGCACGCUUGGGAGGCAUCUGCAGAUUGAGUGAACUUUCAUGAGACUUGGAUUUGGAUAUUAAGGUGAUGUUUAGUUAAUUAAUUCGAAUUUUCGAAGAGACAGAAUCCACCUCCUGUCGACAAGCACACAGACUAACAAACAACAAGCACAAAUGAUUUUAUUAAUUUGCCGGGGCGGUUACAACACUUGGGGUAGGGCCAAAACACGUGCUACACGACCGGUACAACAACACAACUGGGGGUACAAAUCUAGACUCGGGACAGCUUCUGGAGUACAACUCUGGGUGGGGCACUCUACUCGCGGGACGAAUCUGCACACUGCGCGGAGUGGUCUUCUGGCGGAAUAAGGAGGGCCAACACCUCGUCUCUUAGGGUCCCACCUGCGGGAGGGGGUUCCAAGGCUUCUCCAUUGGCCACCUCAGAGUCCCUUUCUGAAGGCGGUGGUGCUGGUGGGGCAUCGGGGCUCUUCCACUUUCCGGACCCCUGGGCAACAGGGACUCCAUCCAAUACUGGGGCCUCGUCGUCCUCCACGACCCGCAUUUUCCUCCUCGUGCGGUUCGAGUGGUGGACUUCCUUUAGUGCCCGCGCGUGCCGGUCCUCGGCCUCUUUGAGGGCCUCGAUGGCGAGGGCCUCAUUGCUUUGGGCGGCCGCGGCUCGGGCUUCAGCUGCUGCCAAUCUCACCUGGAGCCUCCUCACCAUAACCUCAACAUCCUCGGCUCUGCGGAUCUGCUGCUUCAGAUGGGCGGCCUGCUCAUCGCAGAGUUCAUCCAAAGUGAGGAGAUAGGAAGCCAUAUGGAGCACGGUGGGGUCAUCCUCGCGCUGUCCACGUCCUUCCAAAGUCCUUACCCGGGCCAGCCAAACUGAGCGGUUCUUCUUGACAGGCGGGUAGAACCUCAUCGGUGUGCGUCCGAUGUGCCUCUCGUAAAUUUGGCACAGGUAGCGCAGGGCUUUCCGAGCUGCCACCUGGUAAGUGUCUUUCCGCCGGAAACCAGUGGCAGACACAUUCCAAGGCUGAAUGUCGGGGAAGCGGCUGCUCCUACCCACAAAGAUGGUCAUCUCGCACCGGAGAGUCCCACGAUCUUCAUACUCCCGGCUAGAGUACUCCGGGCGCUCGUAAAUCCCGAGGCGGUCCAUGCAGGCGAACAGCAACCUGGGAAAACCGAGCUCCUCCAGGCAGUGGCUGUUGGUCCACCCUUCUUCGGCCAUCUGGAAAGAAUCGGGGUGUAAAUCAAUUUUGCAAACGAGCAGAGGUAGCAAGAAAUUUUGUAAAUCAUUUAAUUUGGUCAAAAUGGCUUUUUCGGUUCUAAUGGUUACAUCCUAAGGCCAACGACGGCUCUGAUACUACCUGAAGCGUCCCCACAUAAGUAGAGACUAUUUAAUACAAUCUUUCUCACAAAGAUUAUUUAUCAAUAGCAUUAUACCUGCUCAUAUACUUAACAAGUUCAUUAGAUCUUUAAUCAUGUUGUCAUUCAACUCACCAAAACCCACUAGGAGCCUAGAUCCUCUUUCAAUAAGGAAUGAGAUACCUUAUUUAGAAGCACACUUGAUACUGAUGCAUGAUUUUAUGAACAAUGGCAAUGGAGAUGAAGAAGUUUAUUAAUUCUUUCCAUCAAAUAAAAUAUAGGGAUUACGACAGCUGUGUAUUUGAUAAAAUUUACUCCAAGACCAAUCAUGAAAUUAAUUUAUUUCGAGUGAGAAUAUAUAACACAUACAGAACUUGCUAAUACUCCAAAGUGAAUGUCAUGUAUCUAGGGUGUAUGGGCCUGAGCCGGCCCAACAGCACGUGGUCCAACAGGCUCAACAUGCCGACAAAAGGGAUUGUGCUACAGUAACCACGAGUGCUAUUGUACGCCUAGUGCUGAGAGUCCGCCUAGGUGAGGAUUUAGAAAGAGUCUAGGAAAUAGUAUUGCUUGUAAUUCAAGUCGAGUUAGGUUUUCUUGUAAGUUAAGUUAGCUUCUUCCUAGAAAUAUGAGAGGAGGGGUAAUGGAUUCAAUCACGUAGGAAAAAUAGCUUAGUUCCUCUCCUACCUUUUGCUAAUGCAAUCUGAAACAGCUUCCCAGCCAUACACCUCCCCAUCAUGAACAGGAACACCCCCAGCCAACCCUCCUUGGCCUCCAGCCACCCUCUCCUCCCUAUACAAUAAUUCAAGUACAUGACAGAUUGGUAUUCAGAACCAACAAUCUUUGGAUCUAGGUAGAAAAUUUUCUACCCAAUUUUUUCUCUCCCUCCUAAAACCACCUUUCUGUGAUGGAAGUUAACGAUAACAAAACUGAAGGAGAUCAUGAAAAGAUCCUUACAAAAAUUGGAUAUUCUCGGCGAAGCAAUAGAAACUUUUUGUAGAAUUGGGGAGCUAACACCUUCAACCAUGGCGGAAUAACACGGCUCUGCUCACCACGUAAACAGUGGUUGUGGUACUGUUCAUGAUGUGAAAGUACCUGUGGUACUGUUCGCCUCGUGGACAUCCCCAGUUUGGCCGCCUACAAGAUGGGAAAUGCCAGUGACAUUGCUGAAUAUCAAUCUGCUUCAUCAAUAACAAUCCCGACUAGCUACACCACGACCGUGUUUGCAUCUACUACACUAUGUCGUGCCUUGCAUCAUCAUCUUCCUCAACGCACAUGUGCUGCCGUCAGAAGCAAUGAUUCCACCUCCAACACCUAUAGCGCAGUCAUCUACAUCACCUUUUCCAACAGCAACUAUACUGACAGAUCUUGUCUCUACUUUGACCUACUGCACCACUACGUCGAUGACUACUUCUACCUUGGAGACAUGUAUCAAGGCGCCACCUGCCAACACUACACCAACAUUAGACCUAGAUGCAAGAGAUAAAUCUACCAUCGACAUGGAGGGGUUUGCCUCCACCAGAUCGUCUACUUCUCCAGCCCUCACUCUACACUAGGAUGACAAUGAAUCUACAUCUACAACUACCUCGAUUUCAUCCUUCAUUGACAACUCCGCGGAGCAACACGUACAAGUGAUUGUUACUAUGACUCCUGUCACGGGAACUAUCAUGGCAUCACCGCGCUCGUCGACAGUUUUUGAGGCCAUGACCUCGCAAUCUCCUACUCAAUGGUCCUAGGCUCCUGGGUUCUUGGAUCGUCAAACAUUCCCACUCCCUCCAACCCUUCCAUGCCAUUAAUUACAUUGAUCAGACUUUAGCCACUUUUCAAAUCAUGGCCAUACAUUAUUUAAUGUAGUAAUUUCCUUCCAAAAUAUUCUUUAUUACUUUCUCCUAAAUAUUGCUUUCCCGAUCACCUCAAUACCACUCACAUCCAGUUCCAUGUUCCCUGCCACUAAUUCCAUUGCAC
rnacentral:lncRNA from 1 species